rnacentral:rRNA from 1 species
UACGGUAGGGUGCGAGCGUUUAAUCGGAAUUACUGGGCGUAAAGCGUGCGCAGGCGGCGCGUUAAGACAGGUGUGAAAGCCCCCGAGCUUAACUUGGGAAUUGCGCUUGUGACUGGCGUGCUGGAGUGUGGCAGAGGGAGGUGGAAUUCCACGUGUAGCAGUGAAAUGCGUAGAGAUGUGGAGGAACACCGAUGGCGAAGGCAGCCUCCUGGGCCAGCACUGACGCUGAGGAGCGAAAGCGUGGGGAGCGAACAGG